GAACAUUUUUAUGAUAGCAACAGUGGUACUGGGUACUUGUCCUGGAGAAUUAAAACUAUUCAGAGAUGCAGUGCUAAAGAAAGGCGAUCAUCAUUUGGAGCUUUGGCGGAAGGACCAUCUGAUGAAGACAAGUCGGGAGGACCAACUGUUGGACGAGUUACCCAAUUCAUUCCAGAGAUUGUCCUGUCUGAAGAUGAGUGCAAGGAAGCGAUGUCACUGAUGAAACAUUCGGCUGACGUGGACAUGGUCAUCAAAGAGAUGAAGCUGACAUUUGCUCAUCGGCAUAACAUGGUCCUGGACCCACAGCAGUCAAGCAACAUUCUAUCUUAUUUUCCUCGUUUUAAAGACAUCAAAGGCUUGGUUGAACAGGAUUUUGUUCUAUUGUUUGGAGAGGAUGUAUCGGGCAAGUUUCUGGAGAAGUAGCCAAUCACAUUCAAAAAGAAGAUCAUCCAACAAUGCAGAAAGCUUCCCUCCAUCACUGAGCUUGAGAAACUCCUGAUGGCAGCUGACCCUCCUGAGGAUGGGGCUGAAGUGAACGUUGACUUUGGUAAGAUGUU